rnacentral:rRNA from 1 species
UUCCCUACGGGGGGCUGCAGUUGGGAAUUUUGGGCAAUGGGGGCAACCCUGACCCAGCAACGCCGCGUGAGCGAUGAAGGCCUUCGGGUCGUAAAGCUCUGUCGGGAGGGAAGAAGGCUCUCGGAGUGAAUAAUUCCGGGGGAUUGACGGUACCUCCAAAGGAAGCGCCGGCUAACUCCGUGCCAGCAGCCGCGGUAAUACGGAGGGCGCAAGCGUUGUUCGGAAUCACUGGGCGUAAAGCGCGUGUAGGCGGCUUGGUAAGUCGGGUGUGAAAGCCCGGGGCCUAACCCCGGAACUGCACUCGAAACUGCCUCGCUCGAGUCCCGGAGAGGAUGGUGGAAUUCCCGGUGUAGUGGUGAAAUACGUAGAUAUCGGGAGGAACACCAGCGGCGAAGGCGGCCAUCUGGACGGUGACUGACGCUGAGACGCGAAAGCGUGGGGAGCAAACAGGAUUAGAUACCCCGGUAGUCUG